rnacentral:rRNA from 1 species
ACGGAAUAGAUACCCAGGUAGUCCACGCCGUAAACGUUGGGCGCUAGGUGUGGGGGCCAUUCCACGGUCUCCGUGCCGCAGCUAAACGCAUUAAGCGCCCCGCCUGGGGAGUACGGCCGCAAGGCUAAAACUCAAAGGAAUUGACGGGGGCCCGCACAAGCGGCGGAGCAUGUUGCUUAAAUUCGAUGCAACGCGAAGAACCUUACCUAGGCUUGACAUGCACGGAAAUCUCGCAGAGAUGCGGGGUCCGUAAGGGUCGUGCACAGGUGGUGCAUGGUUGUCGUCAGCUCGUGUCGUGAGAUGUUGGGUUAAGUCCCGCAACGAGCGCAACCCUCGUCCCAUGUUGCCAGCGGGUUAUGCCGGGGACUCAUGGGAGACUGCCGGGGUCAACUCGGAGGAAGGUGGGGAUGACGUCAAAUCAUCAUGCCCCUUAUGUCUAGGGCUGCAAACAUGCUACAAUGGCCGGUACAAAGGGCUGCGAUACCGCGAGGUGGAGCGAAUCCCAAAAAGCCGGUCUCAGUUCGGAUUGGGGUCUGC